UUUUUUUUUUUUUUUUUUAAACGAGGUGUCCUAGCUUGCGCCAGACUAUAUCUUCGUCCCUGAACCUCCGGCCCCUCAGCUGCUCAAGGAGGUAAAUCGCAGGUUGUGCCCUUGUUGGUUCUCAGAUUCCCACAUGGCUUUUACUCAUUCCCCAAAGGGAGCCUCCUCCAUGGUUAUUACAUCACCAAGCUGCUCCAACCCUUCCUCUGGUUAUUACAACACUCAGCUGCUCCAACCAGGAAUCGAACUCCUCACGCUUGGUUCCAGAACCCCCCAAUGUGAUUGUUCCGCCAACUUGGAUGUGCCCUGGGGGGCAGAAUUCUAAGGCUUUUUACAUGCCGUAUGGAGUCAUAUUUUUAGGAAAAAUUGCAACAACGAUCUCUAAUCUUUCAUUUUUUUUGUAAACUUUAUCUAACUUUUACUUUAUGCCAUUCACAAUUUCAAAUAUUUAAAAAAAAUAUGCAUUUGGGGUUCAAAUAGAUGGAAAUAAUCCAUUUAACUAUUAGUUGAUCAAUAAAAUUGAAUUUUGACCAAUUUUGACCAAUUUAAAAGCGUAAAAUGGUAACCUUACUAUUUAAUCAUAUAAAACAAUUAAAAUAAAAUAAUAAUAAUAAUAAUAAAAGGAAGAAAAACUAUUCAUUUCCUUCUUAACCAUCCAAUCCAAAACCACCGCCCAAAUCCACUGCAGCAACAAGAACACACUUGAAUCUUCGGAACAAAACUCUCCGUUGCCACUAUAGAAAACCCAACUCCCGUAUCCAUAAAAAUAUCACUUUUUGCAGUGUCAUUUCUUAAUCUAAUAUCUCCCUAUUUCUCUUACUUUCACCCCGAAGAAAUUUACCUUCCCUUUUUAGUCAACUGGUACUUCAACAAUGGAGCUUUGUAAAAGGAGAAGAGUCAAACUCUGUUCCAAUUGAACCCAAAAGAAGUACGAGAAUUAAAGAGUUUUGUUUUAAAGGGUGACAAAUAAGAACUUAAUAAAAAUCAUAAUAUUAACAAAAGAAAUAUGUUGACGAAAAAGUCAAUGAUGAGAUAAUGUAUUUAGCUGAAGAAUUUUAAAGAGUUGAUUACUUUUAAUACAUGGUUGAUGAAGCUCUUUCUUCAUUUUAGUAUAGGUUUGAACAACUUAAAAAAUAUGAAGAUGCUUUUGGAUUUCUAUUAGAUUUUAAUUACAUUAUCAAGAAGAUGUGAUAUGUUGAAUGAUUUUUGAAGCUGGACAUGAAUUUUGAUAUGGAUGUACAAAAGUUAUUUUCUGAGCUAAAAGUUGUGAAAUGUUUACCUAAAGAGACCAAAAAGGCAAUCACAGUGUUAGAUUAUUUAAAGAUGAUGAAUUGUCAUAUUCCAAAUUUGUGAAUCGCUUGUAGAAUAUCAUUGAAGCUUUUUUUUUUUUUUUUUUUUUUUUUUUUUUUUUUUUUUUUAACGAGGUGUCUCAGCUUACGCCAGACUAUAUCCUCGUCCCUGAACUUCCGGCCCCUCAGCAGCUCAGGGAGGUAAAUCGCGGGAUGUGCCCAAGUUGACCAGGGUUCGAACAGCCUUUAUACUCCUGACCCCAAGGGAGCCUCCUCCAUGGUUAUUACAUCACCAAGCUGCUCCAACCCUUCCUCUGAUUAUUACAACACUCAGCUGCUCCAACCAGGAAUCGAACUCCCCACGCUGGGGUUGCGAGCCCCGCACUGUCCUUCCUUUGCCAACUUGGAUGUGCCCCGGGGGGCUG
rnacentral:lncRNA from 1 species